rnacentral:rRNA from 1 species
GAUGAACGCUAGCGGCAGGCUUAAUACAUGCAAGUCGUGGGGCAGCAGGUCUGUAGCAAUACAGAUGCUGGCGACCGGCAAACGGGUGCGGAACACGUACACAACCUUCCUUUAAGUGGGGAAUAGGCCAGAGAAAUUUGGAUUAAUACCCCGUAACAUAUAGAAGUGGCAUCACUUUUAUAUUAUAGCUCCGGCGCUUAAAGAUGGGUGUGCGGCUGAUUAGAUAGUUGGCGGGGUACUGGCCCACCAAGUAGACGAUCAGUAACUGGUGUGAGGGCACUAGCAGUCACACGGGCACUGAGAGACGGGCCCGACUCCUACGGGAGGAAGCAGUAAGGAAUAUUGGUCAAUGGACGCAAGUAUGAACCAGCCAUGCCGCGUGGAGGAUGAAGGUCCUCUGGAUUGUAAACUUCUUUUAUUUGGGAAGAAAUCUAUCUUUUCUUGGAUAGUUGACGGUACCAGAUGAAUAAGCACCGGCUAACUCCGUGCCAGCCGCCGCCGUAAGAC